rnacentral:misc_RNA from 1 species
AAGGAUCAUUAACAAAUCCAAUGCUUGUGGGAUGAUUUUAAUUAAUUGUCUUGCAAAUAUUAAUCCGCUGGCCUCGCAAGGGGCUGGUUGAUAGAUAACGAUAUAAAUGUGUGUAGUGUUGACAGUGUGUGAUAUUUAAUUAAUUAUUGACAACUUUUAACAAUGGAUCUCUAGGCUCUU